GCUGGUCCCCGGCCGGCCGGAGCGGCGGCGGUGGCGGCGCGAGGCGGCAUGAGGGAGCCGCUCGUGCUGGGUCCUGCCACCACCAUGGUUCCAGUGGUUGAGCUUUGCUGAAGCCCAGGCAUCAUGUACAGUGUAGAAGACCUCCUGAUCUCUCAUGGAUACAAGCUGUCAAGAGACCCCCCAGCAUCACGCGAGGAUAACCCCAAGGGGCGCCAGGCAGCGAGGACUGGGACACGAGCAGGCCAGGGCCUGCAGAACGGGCAUGAGGAUGGCCCUGCGGCCCUCGCACAUCGUAAGACGUCCGCGGGGAAAGGACAUGUGAGUGACUCCGAAAGCCGCCGCAGCACACCGAGAGGCCACGGGGAGCCCCAGAGCACUUCUGCUUCCAGAACCUCGGAGGCGGGCCCUCAUCUUGGCUUCUGAAGAACCGUGGGUCGGAGGCACCGCGAAUACUCCAUAAAUAUUUGUUGAAUAAAUGAAUAAG
rnacentral:lncRNA from 1 species